GAUCAAGGCUCAGGAUGAACGCUAGCUACAGGCUUAACACAUGCAAGUCGAGGGGCAGCAUGGUCUUAGCUUGCUAAGGCCGAUGGCGACCGGCGCACGGGUGAGUAACGCGUAUCCAACCUGCCUUACACUCUUGGACAGCCUUCUGAAAGGGAGAUUAAUACAAGAUGUUAUCAUGGGUAAGCAUUUUCACAUGAUUAAAGGUUUACCGGUGUAAGAUGGGGAUGCGUUCCAUUAG
rnacentral:rRNA from 1 species